AGUGAACGCUGGCGGUAGGCCUAACACAUGCAAGUCGAACGGCAGCACAGUAAGAGCUUGCUCUUACGGGUGGCGAGUGGCGGACGGGUGAGGAAUACAUCGGAAUCUACUUUUUCGUGGGGGAUAACGUAGGGAAACUUACGCUAAUACCGCAUACGACCUACGGGUGAAAGCAGGGGAUCUUCGGACCUUGCGCGAUUGAAUGAGCCGAUGUCGGAUUAGCUAGUUGGCGGGGUAAAGGCCCACCAAGGCGACGAUCCGUAGCUGGUCUGAGAGGAUGAUCAGCCACACUGGAACUGAGACACGGUCCAGACUCCUACGGGAGGCAGCAGUGGGGAAUAUUGGACAAUGGGCGCAAGCCUGAUCCAGCCAUACCGCGUGGGUGAAGAAGGCCUUCGGGUUGUAAAGCCCUUUUGUUGGGAAAGAAAAGCAGCAGGUUAAUACCCCGCUGCUCUGACGGUACCCAAAGAAUAAGCACCGGCUAACUUCGU
rnacentral:rRNA from 1 species